rnacentral:tRNA from 1 species
UCCUUUGUGGUCUAGUGGCUAGGAUCUGGCGUUUUUACCGCCAUGGCCCGGGUUCGAUUCCCGCCGUGGGAA